AGAUGCUUAGUGUAUAUAUAUAUAUAUAUAUUUACUGUCACAUCACUUUCAGUAAUCGAUUAUCAAGUAGUACCUCAUAUUCAAAAUCGGGUAGCACAACUGAUAUUUACCCAGACUUUCCGCUCCAUGAGUAUUCAAUAGUUACUCGCAAAUAUAUGUAAUGAUGCUAAUGAAUGAAAUCAUUGUCAUGAAAUAUGCCCUUGACGAGCGUAAUGCUAUUAUGCCUUCACUGGAACUCACCUAAUUCGACCCUUUUUAUUGACAAGAAUGAACAGCCAUAUGAAUAUUGCAAAUAACUCAACAAUUUAUUUCGGAAACUAGAUAUAUCUUGGAAUAAUCAUGCUAACCUACGGGGUAACCUCCUUUAGUAGAGACCAGUGAUCACUUCCUAUCAGUAACACACAUACAUCAACAAACCUUAGGACUUGGUAUCCAUUUAUACACUCAUUUGCUCCAACAAUUCCAUGACCUGGUGGAGAAAAAUUGAAUCAUGCUCUCACAGAAAAAGAUGAUUCUUGCUAAAAAGGAAAUUGAUUUUCUAGGGAUGCAUUUUGUUCAUGGAGCAUACAGCCCAGGGCCACAUAUUUGUCAAGAGCUGCUCAAAUUCCCAGACACCAAUUUUACAACGAAGCAGCUCCAACAGUUUUUAGGUGUGAUUAAUUAUGUUAGAGAUUUUAUCCCUAAUGUCUCUACAUACAUUGCUCCACUUACAAAAAUGCUCAAGAAGAAUGCCCAAGGUUGGGGAAAGGAACAGGAUGAAGCAGUUCGGAGAAUAAAAGAAAUCUCAAAAGAAGUCAAAGCUCUCUAUAUUUCGUCAGACGGAAAAAAGCUAUUGCAGAGGAUGCCAGCAACUAAUAUUGGAGUGCGGUACUUUUUGAAGACAAAGAUGGCCAACAGACAAUAUGCGGAUAUGCCAGUGGAAAGUUCAAAGAUGCUGAACAACACUAUCAUUCCACAUUCAAAGAAAUUCUUUCCGUAAAGAAUGGGAUUAAAAAGUUUAAUUUCUUUUUAAUUCACACAGAGUUUCUUAUCGAGAUGGAUAUGAAGGCUUUCCCGAAGAUGAUCCAGAUAAAUCCAAAUAUUAUCCCAAAUCCGUAGAUUCUUAGAUGGGCACAAUGGUUCUCCCCUUAAAAAUUCCAGAGCAAAGUGAGGUGUUCUUCCAUAGUAUCACUAAAGAGUAAGAUGUCAUCAAUGUAAACUAGUGAUGUAUGGAGGAUGGGUUGAAAUAAUUUUAUCAUGGCUUUUUGGAACAAUGAGGGUGCCAUUUUCAACCCAAAUGGCAUGACCUUCCAUUGAGAGUGAUGAUCGGGUCUACAAAACCCUAUUUUUGGUCGAUCUUCUGGGUGUAUUCCCAAUGGCCAAAACCCCGAUUUAAGGUCAAACUUGGAAAAUUAUUUAGCUUUGGCUAAGGGUGAAAAAAGGCCGAGUUUAUUUGGGAUAGGGAAUUUAUCAUCUUGGAGGAAAUAGUUUAGAGAUAAUUCUCUGUGCUUCGCUGUAUUCAUCUUCUAAGGACAAGAUAGAGACGGAGAAUUCCCACCAUAGUGAAAUAUCUGGCUGAGCAUAGACCUUCCCAUCAAUAAUCUUUAUCGGUCGAUGUAACAUGAACACUUUCACUGCGGGAAGAACAUCUCACUUUGCACCAACAAUUCCAUGACCUAGUGGAGAAAAAUGAAAUCAUGCUCUCACAGAAAAAGAUGAUUAUUCCUAAAAAGUAAAUUGAUUUUCUAGGGAUGCAUUUUUUUCAUGAAGCAUAUAGCCCAAGGCCACAUAUUCGUCAAGAGUUACUCAAAUUCCCAGACACCAAUUUUACUAAACUGCUCCUCUCUCCGAAAGAGAUAGACUGGCUCUGAUCCCAUGAGGUGUGUAUGUUACACCCCAUAAAAUUUCGCGUUACUAAGGCUGCAGACGGCUUAAUGUGAGCUCAAGAAGGAGCAAAUAUUACAAGUAUAAAGGAUGAAAUUCUACUGUGUUAGCAUGAGGAUAGCAUGAGUAUGAUAUUUGGAAUUCAUACAAUAUGAUUGGAAUGAUACGUUAAAAGAUAUAUAUCCCUCGUAACCGUAAGCUGAGGUGGGGCCCAUAUGUCAAGAUUUUAUAAAGGCUAUAUGACAAGUUAUAUGAAUAGUAUAUGGGAAGUUGAUCAAUUCUUAAGAAGGACUCUUAAGCAAUCCAAAAGGAUGAUUUAAGGGUAGGUUUUCGGGUGAUCUAGCUUUACGAGGCCAACACGCCAUUAUAAGUUUAGAAUUUGGGAAAACGCAAAAAAAGACAGUUGUAGAUAAUUGAAAUAACUUUCCAACCAUAGGUUUUGGGCCUUCAUACGACAUAAGGAUUAAAAUUUAUGGAUGUUUUAAGGCGGAAAGGUCAAACUGGGCAGUGGGCUCGGCCCAACCCGAAUCCAAGUCGGGUCAGGCCCACUUCCCUUGCUAUUUAAGGAAAAUUUUCACCCUUAUCUUCCUCAUUUCAUAAGAAAAAGAUCCAGAACAUUUUAGAGAGAGAGUGAGGAGAGUUAGAGAGAUAAAACAAGGAUUCAAUCAAGUUCGAGGCCCCGAAUCCCGAGGCUCGUGAAGGAUAAAGUGUAGUACGAGUUGUCGUCGUCGUUUUAAGCUAAAUAUUGAGCUUAGGGGAUGAUAUUUUCUAGGUUGAGCUGCUGCUAAGUUGACUAAGCCCGGGAGGGGACUCGAGGAUUAUCUUGAGGCGUAAAUAAGCCCCAUAUUGUUUGGCAGGUUAAGUGUAUAGCUAGGAUGCUUGGACGUCAGCUGAGAUUUGGCAAGUUCCACCUCAUUCUGGAGUUGUGCUGAGUCAUGUAUAGAUAUGUAUGAUUAUGGGUAUGUCAAGGCCCUGUCCUGACUCAUAAUGUUCAGUUUACUUCUUAGAGACUUCUGCAGACAGUGUCCUGUGGUAUGUUUAUCGAGAUGUCGACUGUCCUGACUCAUAAUGUUCAGUUUACUUCUUAGAGACUUCUGCAGACAGUGUCCUGUGGUAUGUUUAUCGAGAUGUCGACAAAGUGAUGUCAGUUGAGUCAUUUGUGGAUUUUAAAAGAGUAUGUAUUUUAGAUAAUUUCAAUUGAUUU